rnacentral:rRNA from 1 species
GGUGUUGCUGGCUCUUAGG